rnacentral:sRNA from 2 species
CCCAGAGGUAUUGAUUGGUGCGAUUUCAGUACAUUUGUGACUGAAGCCAAUGUUUACACCGACCUACGCGGAUGCGUAGGUUUUUUUU